UUAUUCAAUUUGUUCUUCAGAAGUUUAUCAAUAUCAGAUGCUCUUUGUUCACUUAAUUCACUACCACCAUCUUUAUCUUCAAUUGUGCUAAAGGAUUCCGGUUUAUUUCGUGGAAUACAAAUCCGUUUGAUCUUUGCCAUAGUCACCGGACGCGGACUCUAGCAUCCAAUCGUCUACGUAUUCGUAGAAAAAGUAAAUGUUGUGGAAUUUAACGCUUUAUUGAAUCACAUCCGACUAAAAAAAAAUGCCCAGGGAAACAGAAGGCUGACAGACAUAUUCAUAGAAAAUAUGAAAAAGCCCUGCCUGUUGCCGUGUUGGAACUUGUAUUGACCUGUAUGAGCAUCAUACUGUGCAAAUCACCUAAAGAUGGAGUUGACCAAGUUGCUGACUUUGAGGAGAACUUGAAGAGCAGAAUUAUAUGAUAUAGAAGACAAAGAAGAGCUCUUGAGAAUGGAAAAAAAAACCUACGAGUUUUACAGUCAAUGAACACACCUUACGACACAAGUCCAUCCUGAUUCAGUAAACUGGUAGUCUAUUAUUCUAAGGACACACCAUGACUUAGUUAAGAUCAAGUUUUGGUGUCAGAAGACUAAUGUAACUAAAACAUUGCAAAAUUAACCUGCAAGUGUCUUAUGUGAGCCUACUGAAUAAGGAUUCAUUACUGAACAGUUGAAGGAAAAUCACUAUUAUAAUGAUUUUAAAAAAAAAGAUGAUUCUGUUGUUUGGAUAACA